rnacentral:lncRNA from 1 species
CACCCCUCAACCCCCCGAUGAACCUAGCCAAUCAGAAAUGUACACUUCAUACUUGCUAAAUGUCAACCAAUCAUGUAACUGCUAAGUGGAAAAUCACCAAACCUUGCUGUAACCACAAUAAAAACCCUGCUAAUUUGAAAUUCGGGGCUCUCAAUUCUGAUACGCUGCAUCGGUGAUGGUUGUGAGCCCCUGCUCGAGCUUGAAUAAACGACCCUCGUGUGCUUACAUCGGGACUGGCUUCCUGGUGGUCUUUGGGACUACGCCAUCUGGGCACAACAGUAUCACAUGGAAAAACUGUCACAGGUAGACAUCUGCAGCACGGCAGGUUGGAGCCUUGCCAGGCCUUCUUCCCUCACUGCGUGGAAUUUGUACUUACCUCCAAAGAGUGUCACCUAGUCUCUUCUACAUCCAAACCUGGCCUGAGCGGACCCCACUGGAGAUAGCCAAUAUUUUGGCCCUGGUCCCUAAAGGUCAACAAAGAUCCAGGACACAAAGGAACCUUUCCUACAGGAUCCUAUAUCUUUGGUACCUCUCUGGAGCACAGGAAAUCACCCAAGAAGAACACAACAGGAAUCGCCCUGGACUUCCCUGAAUCCAGAGUCCCUUCCCUCUCCUAGAUGCAUCCCAGUGCCAUCAGCAACUUUCCUGAGACAACAACCAACAGCAGAUGCCCACCUAAUGAUGUGGCAAAUGGAAGAUUCUAGAACCACGUGUGAGCUCUACCUUCUUGCCCCUCAUUCACUCCUCAGCCCACUGCAACUAGAGCAUGGGUCAUCUCUCCACACCCACUGUUCCAGCAAAGACCAAGGUGAACAAUGACCACACCACUGCCAAUCCAAACACCAUGCAAUGUUUCAGAUCGUGGUUGCUCUGUCCACUUGUGUCCUAAGAAUAACCCCUAAAUGACCAGCAAUGGAAGUUAAAAUGAACAUGAAAGGUGAAUGUUUUGAAUUGAAUCACGAUAUGAAGGCUGCUGGGACAGCACAACUAAAGACACUCCUGAGACUCCGUGAGAAAAGACUUCCAGAACUGCUUCAGAAAGUGCAAUUCAUUGUGUUACGAAAUUAUAAAGAAAGAAAAUUUUCCAGAGAAGAAAAUUCUCCCAGUGCAAGUGGUAUCUGCAAGGUGCUUGGCCUCCCA